CUACCUCUCUCUUCACUGCGGUGCUGCCAGGAAAAACAGCAUCCGCCCUGCUACGACAGUCACCUCCCACCGUUUUUUUUAUGGUUACCCCAGGUUUGUUAGAUGGAAUAGGGGGAAAAAUAGGCAUAAUGGACCGGAUCUUUGUAGUUUGUCUUAUGUGGCAGUAUAUAUGUUGGCAUGUUGUGUCUGGAUCAUUCUUUCCGUCGCAUACAGUUAGAUCUGUAAAAACGUACUGCAGUAGAAACAGCCUGCCUUGUUAAUUUAGAGAUUAGAGCGCAAAUUAGCCCAGGAGAGUUAGACUGGACUUCAAUUCUAGCAGUAUGUAUCAUUGUCUCUGUAUCUAUUUUAAGCUGCUGCUGACAUGGAGAUCCCCUACUCUCUCUUCCUGCCUCAGAUCUCCCUCCCUACACACGGCGACUCAAUCAGAAUCAAGAUCGCUCCACACCACCAUGGAGACCGUGUUGCCCCAACACCAAGGCAACGGCAUCGGGGACAACGCUAUGACCGACCUGGAGAUGGGUCAACCCACCAUGGAGAUCGAUCAAUCCACCAUAAUCAACAUACUGCACUCCAUGCUACCCUCUGCUUCGCCACCGGCGGUACCACAGCUGGGGCGCGCGCUGUGGGGGCUGAGCUCCCUCACCCUUGUCCUGGCCCUCACCACCGUGCUCCACCUGCCGGCCGCCGGACCUGUCUUCGCCCACUACAAGGCAGCAUACUAUGCCAUCCUUGCCUUUGUUCUCUUUGUCGCAGUGCCGGUGGAGCUCGCCACUGCCUUCUGCCUGCCCGGCCACAGCCGUGAUGGCCGUCUCUGCGUCUUUGCCUGGAAUGCUGUUCUUGGAAGUUAGUCUUGUAGCAUUUCUACUUCAAGGAAAUGAAGCCAGCGGUUAUGAUGUCCUUGGCAUUAAUUUGUUAUCUCUGCAGCUCAAGAAUCAGUUUUAGGCCACUCCAAGGAAAAAUAGUGGUCACUGAGGAUGACGUGUAAGGAGGAAUAAAUUUGUUUGUCCGGCAAGACACUGAAUGGUACCCAAAUUGCAGGGGUCGCCUUUUGUCACUAAACAGCACAUGUUACAUUCUAAGUGAACUGCAUUCCUCUAUCAAGUUACAGGGUAUGCGUGCGCUUUACAUUUUGUUGAACUGCUGAUACUUCAUCAAGAAAAAUGCAAAUCCACUGAGUGCUAAACUGCGGAAGAAAAAGUGUUCUCAGUCUGCGGCAUAAGGAUGUCAAUGAUCUUUUUGGUAAUUGUAGACUUGCGGUGACAUUGUAUGAUUUAUUCUGAUUUUUUUAUAUUAUACAAGAGUAAGUAUGUUGGACACCUGCUGCUAGUUGUUCCUAAAGUUAGAACAGUGGCACCCUGUUGUUACAUCUGAUGAUACAUUCUGAAUUGUCAUUUUUUUUAUUGAGAAUGAUUCUGAAUUGGCAUUAGCAGUUGUCCUCUAAUUACACAAACGAUAUAUUCUAAUUUGCCGGUGUCCUCAUCUGCAGGUGUCUCAUGGAGUACGGAGAGCAAGGAGCGCUCUGCAUUCUUUUUUCAGAAUAUUGUGCUCUGCAUUCUUUCUUACGGCACAAUUUCCAUGUGGUCUGCAUUGACGUUUUGCUGAAGCAGCGCUCAACGUGUCUGAUCGGUUUCCCAUGGUGCGGCUUCUCCCACAGCACUGUGCAGAUCCUGUGGUCGCUGGAUGAGAUGCUCGUCAACGAGGCGCUCCACCAGGGGCUCAAGAUGUACUCCAGCUGGCCCGCCUUCCUGAAGUUGUACAUUGACAGUGAGUUCUUUGGCGGGCAGUUGCGACGUGCGACAUCACUAUCGGUAUGUAUAUAUGUUCUCUGCCUUUCCUUCUCCAAAUAUUACGGUUGAAUGUUUAAGCAUUUUUGCUAUCCUACAUGCAGUGUGAAUUGUUUUGUGAGAGAUCAGUUCUGUCUAGCAUCAGGUAUAGCAAUAUAUUCAUUAAUCUGGCACGUUCUGAAUUUCUGAGGGCAAUGGAACAUGUAGCUGUUACAGGCAUAAGAUUUUAUCAGGUUGAAGGCAUGAUACAUUGGUGUUGCUUGUGGCUUAACAGGUACUCCCUCCGUUCGGAAUUACUUGUCUCGGAAAUGAAUGUAUCUAGAACUAAAAUACGUCUAGAUACAUCCAUUUCUGCGACAAGUAAUUCCGAACGGAGGGAGUAUGUGGCAGUGUCAAUGUGUCGAAGCUGCAUUAGGUAAAUUAGUUCAGAACUUCGCAUUCAGGAGAUAAACUAGGAGUGGAGUGCAGUCAGAGUCAGGCACUCUGUUGCUUUCUGCUUUCCUUUGUCGAAGGCAAUUUUCUUUCUCUCUUUUUUGGAAUAAAAACUGGACAUAUCGUUUGAGAAACUAUGAUAGACUAUUAGUAAGGUGUUGACUGAAAGAAUUCUGAAAAUGAUGGAACAUGGUCGAUGUGGAAAAGAACCUAAAAGCAUGAAUUGGUUUAUCAAGUUAAAGGCCAACAGAGGGUUAAGUCCGAUACAGCAUUCGUCAUCAUGAUUAUCACCUGCUUGGUAUGGAACUGUCCAAGAAGCUUAGCAUCCAUUAUACUCCUAGCAUCUCCAGUAGCUAAGGUUCUUUACAUCCUGGACAAAAAUGUUUCAGUUUGAUAACUUUGUCAUCCCUUGUACAACUCCCAGCCACCAGCUUUAGAAGCACCAUAUAAUAGCUGUAGACGUCGAUUUAUGUCCAGAUUUAGAGUAACAAUAGCAGGACAUAGCUGCUGCAUUGGAUAUUUGCAUAACAGCUGUGUGGCCCCCUGUAAUCCAUUAUGAUUUGAAGCCUAGCAAUGUGCUUCUAGAUGAUGACAUGGGUGCCCGUCUCAGUGACUUUGGGUUAGCUAAGUUCCUUCAAAGUCAUAACUCUUUCAAGUACUAUUACUUCCACGAGCUUACAAGGACCAAGAGGAUCAGUUGGAAACAUUGCACCAGAGUAUGGCAUCGGGAACAAGAUCUCAACAGCAGAUCUCAACAGCAGGCGAUGUCUAUAGCUAUGGAAUUAUCAUCCUAGAAAUGCUCACGGGGAAACGCCCAACAGAUGUGUUGUUCAAGAAUGGCCUGACCCUUCAGAAAUUUGUGGGGAAUUCAUUCCCCGAAAAGAUCCGUGAUAUACUUGAUCCUAACAUCAUAAUCCCGAGCUCUGGAGACGAAGGCGUGGACCAUGGAAACCACAAUGGUGGGGAUGCUGAGCUGCAUUAUGCAGCUUGUUCAGCUUGGUCUCUCAUGCUCCACAGAGACACCAAAAGAUCGACCGACAAUGCCAGACGUCUACACAGAGUCUCUGCAACCAAACGAGAAUCAAGGAAUAGGAGACACUGUUUUUGUUCGCCUGUAUGUUACGAGUGAGUUGCAGUCUAUGCUUGUGUUGGGGUUCUACAAAAUUUUGUUGUACUGCUAAUAUUCCAUGAAGAGAAAUACCAGUCCACCGUGUGAGAAAG